CACGGGGGGAGCAAGCGUUGUUCGGAAUUACUGGGCGUAAAGGGCGUCUAGGCGGUUGGAUAAGUGGGGUGUGAAAACCCUCGGCUCACCCGAGGAUCUGCACCCCAAACUGUCCGGCUUGAGUAUGGGAGAGGAUGAGGGAAUUCCUGGUGUAGCGGUGAAAUGCGUAGAUAUCAGGAGGAACACCGGUGGCGAAAGCGCUCAUCUGGCCCAAUACUGACGCUGAAGCGCGAAAGCUAGGGGAGCAAACGGG
rnacentral:rRNA from 1 species